ACGUGGUCAAAACUGCACAGCAUUCUGGGGGAUGAAGGCAAAGGAAAGGCUUUAGCUGCUCAACCUCUUACGGCAAGCUAAGCAAGGUGGGUGGCAUCAACUGACUCACUCUUUGGUUACCUAGCAACAACCUCUUGAGUAACUUGUGCAGCAACAGCAACAGUUUCAGUUUUUGCCACCAUGCCUAAUAACUUCUUAAAAAUAAAAAACAACAGCAUGGAGUGAAAACUGAAUAAAACAGAAAAGGUCAUACCACAAGUUUGGCAGUAUACCAGACAUUUAAAACAAAAACUAAUCAAUAAUUAUGGAUAUUGACAAUUAUUGCUAUCAACUGAUAUGAAACGCUAAUAUAUUGAUACGUUUUACAGCCAUAUUGUCCAGCCCUAACAGAUUGUAGUAGAUACAAGCCUUUACAUUCAAGUACCUCUGUAUACUGCAUAGCUCCUUGUGUUAUGAAGUUGUAGUCAUCAGCACAUAUUUUAGCAACAUCCUGCAGGUAC